rnacentral:lncRNA from 1 species
GAGCGAGCCGGCGAGCGACCGAGGUAAAGGUAUCGCGCCUUAGACAGAGGCCACCAGAGUUGAGUUUGGUUUACAUUUUGUUGGUAGAGUACCCUAUGUUCAUCUUUUGUAUUUGAUGACUAGUGAUGUUGAGAAAAAAAUGUAAAGCUUAUUUUGAGGUAAAUGUGAUGUAAGAAAGAAAUGAUGCAAUGUGUAAUGAAGUACAAAGAAUCAUGAAUGUAAAUGGAUGCAAUGUAUAUGAUCAAAAAUGAAUCAUAGUACUUGUAA